AUGGAGGGGUAAUUGGAGUCUUCUUCGUUAAAGCCUUGCAGAGCGCCCCACUUCUCGAAAUUUCUCUCUCCGACCUCUCCUCACGCCGCAAUCUCUCUCUAUCUUCUCCACUUGUAAUCGCCAUUUCUUUGAAUUUCUUGCUCUAAUCUGCCAUUAUUCAGGCUUCACCUUCUUCUCGCUCUAUUUUUCCCAAACGUAUAUGGGCUAUAAUUAGAAAGAGAGAGGCUUAAGUGGGAUUUGAAAUUGAAAUCCCUUUUCUGAUCUUUUUUCAAGAAAAUCGAUAGACAGAGGAGUAGAAGAUUGAUUGAUGGCUUUGGGAAGUUCUAAACUUUCUUCUGUUUUAUUAGGGUUCUAUAUGUUCAUUUUAUAGUAAGUUCAUCGGUCUUAGUAUAGCUAUGGGUUCCACAAAUAUGAGAGGGUCAUUCUGGUUCUAAUUUCUACUUGCAUUCUUGAUUAAAUUUGGAAAUAAUAUUAUCUUUUUUGGAAUCAAUAUAAGCUUUUGAUCUUUGAAAACUUUGAUUAUGUUUAAUGAUUCUAUUGCAUUGAUUAUGAUGGUGAAAUUGAACUGAGUUCUGCUAGCUAUAUAUUAAAAAUAUUUUGUGCUAACUCUAAGUGAAGCCUUCACUACUUGUUUGGUAUGUUAUGGCAAUUACUUUUUUACUUCAUAUUCUUAUUUUACCAAACAUUUUUCCAUUCCAUAAACUAGGUUGGCUUAAGGUUUCUUAACUUAGCAUGUAAUUCCUCCUCAUGAAUGCCCGUAGAACAUUAUUCUAAUUUAAUUGCAUUAUUCAUUAUUCUCAUAAGAAAUGUCAAGUGUUUCAAUGUGUUAUUAUGUAGUGCCAACCAUGGUAGUUACCGUUCUGAACUAAUGACAUACAAGUCAUAUGCCCUCGACCAAGAUGUUAGUGGUUCUAAUCUUUUCAUCUCACAUGUGGUUGAACUUAGAAAAAUUUCAAAAUGGUGAGUAUUGCUUAUUACGACCAUAACUGUUCUACUUCUAACUUGUAAGUGCAUUUGAUUAAGUUUAGGAGGUUUAAUCAAAAUAUGGGCUUUUUUUUAUUUGUGGAUAAUUUGCUGACUUUGAUUAAGCUUAACAGACAAUAGACUAAUUUGAAAUUUCUGGAAUAAAAAAAUACCUCAUAUUACAUUAGGUACCAUCAGAUUCUCAUUGAAAUGAACUCUUGCGCUUCUGCUUGAGAUUUUCAAAAUCAAGUUCAUUGCACGAAUGAAACAUCAAAUGUUAAGGAAGCUCUUGGCCUUUUUAAGAUGGAAAUUAAUGUCUGAUGUUUCUAUAUGGUAAGACUUGUAUUCUGGUUCUUUAUUGCAGAAAGCCUUUUCGAAGAGGAAAUUACAUUGACUAUCUCCUCAAUUUUCAAGUCUCUUUUGUGUUUCCAAUUUCUGUUUAAUGCAAGAUGAUGGUUGAGGAUCUCGGUGUCGAAGCAAAGGAAUCUGUCGUACGCAAGGUUGCCAAACUUAUGUGCCUUCUAAAGCUUCUGCAGUCAAUUAAUUCGAUCAAGGCUGAUUAUAUUACUCAUCAGCAGAGCUUUGUAGGUAUUCGUACUAAUGGUAGGACGUAGAGCCAGGAAUUCUAAUUUUGUUUUAUGUUCUGUUGACAAUGAAAAAUCUUUAUUUUGGUUUGGAAAGAGUGGGUGCUAAUCUUGAGGAUUCUGAAAUUAGUGGGUUAAUGCAAGCUGUAAGUUGCUAUCUUCUCUCAUGAGAAAUUAAACCUCUCUUACUAGGUUUCAUGUAACGAUCCAACUUCUUAUACUAAGUCAAAGUCAUUACUAAUUUGAAAGAUAAGUAAAUUUCUUAAAUUUAAAAAUAUAAAAUAAAAAAAAACCUCAAAUACUCAUUUAAAAUCAUAAACAAGUGUUUGUAAAGAUAAUAUUAAAUAAAAUCCUAACUCGGGCUCUAUCUAGUUUUAAGAAAAAAAAUAAUAGAAAAUGCAUCAGAUCAAAUGACAUAAAGCGAAAGCAAAAAGAGGUCCCUAUGGCUCGCCACGGUCACUUCUUGACAAUCGUCAGCUUCCCUCUGCCCUUACUUCUACCUCUGCUUGAAAAAAAUUAAACAAGAAAGAGUGAGUAUAAAAAUAUAUAUACUCAGUAAGAGACUCACUACUAGUCCCGCUAGGUGCCUGUUAACUUCCUGUUAAAGUCCUGUAAAGUGGUACCCCUAAACUGGUACGUUCCCGAAUACGUGCAAUCUGUGAUCCCGUAGGAACAUAUUUGGUCUUCGGUGAACCCAAAGAAACACCUAGGACAACUGGUCUUUAGUGUACCCAAAGGAAACACUAAGACAAUCGAGCUGUGAGUGACCCCGUCGAAUCACUCAUAAUCAUGUCUAUGUCUAUGUCAUACUGGACUGGUGGUCCCGUUGGACUACACAGUCAUAAAAGGUAAUGAUCCCGAAGGACAACCAUGCGGGUACGACUCUAAUAGCUAAAGUUAACAAUACAAUCUAACCAUAGCAUACAUAACAUACAUCAUCAUAAACAUGGCAUAAGUAUCGAUCAUAACAUUUCUAAUCAAACAUUGUCAUUAAAGACAUGACACAGUCGUCAUCAUCAUUAUACUACCAGUAAUAAACAUGUUAACAGCUAUCAUCAUCAAUCACUCAUACAAUGACAGUCAUUAUUAAUAGCAUCCAGUUAUACAUUUUAGCUAUCACUAAUGUAUAACCAUAAGUACUUGCAGUCGCUUAAAUUCAUUUUGAGGGUCUAGUAGUAGAAUCUCUUACCUGGAGAUUAGUUAAAACUGAAGGUAAUCUUAACAGCAAGGUCAAGCUUCCAAGGAAUAAUCCUAAACAGUAAGGGAAAAAUACUAAGUUUAAUAAUUAACUCGCAGAUGAUUAAGGAUCCAAAAAUCCAGUUGGUUUAACUUACCCAAAAAUCGAGGCCGAAUUCGAUUUACACUUAGUUGUACAAAUUCCCAGCUUAGUUUCAAGUUAAAUCUAAUCAAUUUAAUCCACAAUCAAAAUUUCAUUAACUAGAGUCCAAAUUCAAUAUUUGUCGGACACUAAUCCAAAACCCAAUCGAGACUUACCAAAAUAGGUGAAAAAACCAAAGAAUAAGCUAGGUGGCUCAAAAACGGCUUGGAAGACAGAGACCGGAUCGGUUAGGGUUGAGAGAAUCGGCUCGAGUAGGCGGCUCACACGCGUAGAGGUAGCUUGACUGGGGUUGCGUGCAGAUCGGACGCUAGCUCGGCUCACACGGACGGCUCGGUGGCUUCGCACAAGCGUGCGCGCGGCUCGGACUUCACGUGCCCGGAUUGCUAACGGCAACGACUCGCACUGACAGAGACGGCUCGCGACGGUUUCCGAUGGUCAACGACACUCGGCUGACGGAAAGAGGCGACGGCUGACGGAAGCGAUGCGACGGCUGACGGAUCGACUUAUGGCGCUCGGGUGUUCGACUUGGUCGACAAUCGACGACCUAUGAGGCUUGUCGAUGGCUGCUAGGUGAAACGGUGCAACAGGAGACAAUCGAAGACAGAGAAACGACUCGGGUUGUGGCUGCAUUGCACGAAUCUUGCGUGCGGGUUCGGGUAGAGCAGCAGCUGACGACAGAGGAGAGCGGUGGACGGAGGUGGAGGAGGUGACGACGGCGGCGAACUUGGAAGUUAGGGUUAAGGUUUUUCCUCUCUCUUUUCUUUCUUCUUUUUUUUUUCCAAUGGAGAAGAUGGCACAACUCCCCAUACCACAUUUAAACAAAAAUAUUAAUAUUAUUAUUAUUAUUAUUAUAUUUUUAACUAUCCUUUUUCUUUUCCUUCUUUCCCCAAUUAAAACCAAUCAAAAAUCUUCUCUCGUCUCAUCUAAAACCCAACAAAUCCCCCCUUUUAAAAUCAAAUAUUCUCCCUCUCUCCAAUCAAUUCACUUUUAUCUUUCCCAAAAUAAAUAUUUCUCCUUACAAAAUAUAUCAUUAAUCCAACUUCAAAAUCAAUUAAUUAUAUAAUCAUUUGUAUAAUUAACCAAAUUUCUUCCAAAUAACAAAUCAAAUAAUUCAACCAAUUAACCAAACAACACCCAAAAUUACAAAUUUUCAAAAUUAAACUUUGAAUACUUAAACUAAAAAAUUACUACUGUGGGGCGUUACAUAUCUGGCAACCAAUAACAGUUUGUUUCACUAUAAGUUUCUGUUUAUGAAGUUCAUCAUCAUCAAGGGAAUUAUAUCUUUCGUAAGCCUAUCCCGAAGAGGAAAAAACUGCUCUCAAGAGAAAAGGAAGGAAAGGUGCUCAGCCGGGAAGAAUGAGCCCAUGGAGCGGUGCGAGAAUUCGAUCUUGAAUGAGGAAUGGAAAGCUAUGAAAAAUAGAGAGUCGUAAGUCUCUGUUCAUGUUUACUUGAGUGUAUUGAAUUUGGUUCUAAUCAUUGGGACUCUUUUGUAUAUAGAUUCAAGCUGCACGAUUCAAGUUUAAGGUUGACAUUGGAGCUGAAUUGUGGCCUAGAACUCACAAACGUAUGUAUUCACUCCGGGAAGAAAUGUGUUUGCUGUUUAAUUUUUGUGAUUUUUCGUAUAUCAAUGCAAUUCUUGGAGCAAAAUACAUGGAUUGGGUUGAUUUUUUUUUUAUUUUUUUUUUGCGUUUUUUUUCUUAAUCUUCUUUGGGAGCUUCCUCUUUUUUUUUCUUUCAUUAUAUCAAAUAGGAGGUUGUCCUUGUUCUUUCUUUUUGGUAAAAAUAGAAUUGUGAAAUUAGGAUUCUUCUCCACGAACUGCUUGUUAAGAAUUAAAACUUCAUAUCUUCCAUUUAUCUUUGCCUA